rnacentral:rRNA from 1 species
CUGCUUCUACUUUCUGUAUGGAGCUGGGAGCGUCUGCCUGUUGGACGCCCGAAGAGCGUCAGGUUUGAUCCUUGGUAUGCAGAUGAACAUGACGAAUUACAGCGCCUCACGUGGCCUUACAAGUGGGAUAUCGUUUCCGAGAUGACGAACGAUGUCAAUCUCAUGUACCAAAAGUACAUUGCCGAGUUGGACACGGUUACGCCUGAGCAGGUAAGGAGGUCAUUACUUUAG